CAAUGCAAUAGAGGUCGCGAUGACUACAAGAAUUAUGUAAGAACACGAAUUCAAUGAUCAUAAUUUUUAGAGUCAGCGCCGAAACGAAACGGUUUUCGUGAAUUAGUUUUGUUGGGCUGCAGUAGAAUAUGCUGCAGACUGUCCUGGAUAAUCCCCAGGGAGCGCUAUAAGAUUU
rfam:Lactobacillus kalixensis DSM 16043 Scaffold29, whole genome shotgun sequence.